UACGUAGGGGGCAAGCGUUGUCCGGAAUCACUGGGCGUAAAGCGCACGUAGGCGGCUUCUUAAGUCAGGGGGGAAAUCCUGGAGCUCAACUCCAGAACUGCCUUUGAUACUGAGGAGCUUGAGUCCGGGAGAGGUGAGUGGAACUGCGAGUGCAGAGGUGAAAUUCGUAGAUAUUCGCAAGAACACCAGUGGCGAAGGCGGCUCACUGGCCCGGUACUGACGCUGAAGUGCGAAAGCGUGGGGAGCAAACAGG
rnacentral:rRNA from 1 species